GUGGGGAAUAUUGGACAAUGGGCGAAAGCCUGAUCCAGCAAUGCCGCGUGAGUGAAGAAGGCCUUCGGGUUGUAAAGCUCUUUUACCCGGGAAGAUAAUGACUGUACCGGGAGAAUAAGCCCCGGCUAACUCCGUGCCAGCAGCCGCGGUAAUACGGAGGGGGCUAGCGUUGUUCGGAAUUACUGGGCGUAAAGCGCACGUAGGCGGUCUUUUAAGUCAGAGGUGAAAGCCCGGGGCUCAACUCCGGAAUUGCCUUUGAAACUGGGAGACUUGAACACGGGAGAGGUGAGUGGAAUUCCGAGUGUAGAGGUGAAAUUCGUAGAUAUUCGGAGGAACACCAGUGGCGAAGGCGGCUCACUGGACCGUUGUUGACGCUGAGGUGCGAAAGCGUGGGGAGCAAACAGGAUUAGAUACCCGUGUAGUCC
rnacentral:rRNA from 1 species